rnacentral:rRNA from 1 species
UGGGGAAUCUUGCACAAUGGGCGAAAGCCUGAUGCAGCGAUGCCGCGUGCGGGAAGAAGGCCCUAGGGUUGUAAACCGCUUUCAGGAGGGAAGAAAAUGACGGUACCUCCAGAAGAAGGUGCGGCCAACUACGUGCCAGCAGCCGCGGUGACACGUAGGCACCAAGCGUUAUCCGGAUUUAUUGGGCGUAAAGAGCUCGUAGGCGGUUUGGUAAGUCGGGUGUGAAAACUCUGGGCUCAACCCAGAGAGGCCACUCGAUACUGCUAUGACUAGAGUACGGUAGGGGAGCGGGGAAUUCCUGGUGUAGCGGUGAAAUGCGCAGAUAUCAGGAGGAACACCAGCGGCGAAGGCGCCGCUCUGGGCCGUAACUGACGCUGAGGAGCGAAAGCAUGGGUAGCAAACAGGAUUAGAUACCCUGGUAGUCCAUGCCGUAAACGUUGGGCACUAGGUGUGGGUCUCAACCAACGAGAUCCGCGCCGUCGCUAACGCAUUAAGUGCCCCGCCUGGGGAGUACGGUCGCAAGACUA